GACCCACUUACAGAUAAUUCCUCCUGGAAUAGAGCACACAAAGGACUUGAGAAUAGAUGACCCAGAUAUGAAGUUUCAUCUAAACAUUCCAGUUAGUUGAGUUGUUUAUGAGUAGAUAUGGCCCAGAAAACUAAACACUUGAUCAAAAUUUCUGUUGAGUUAGCAGCGGACAAACAAAUACUGGAGAAAGUAUAUGCUAGUACUACUAUGAGUUUAUCACAGUAUAUGCUAGUAUUACCAUGAGUUUAUCACAAUACAAUAGUCAAACUGUGAUGGUGUGAAGAUAUUACGAAAGAACGCCUUGGCUUGUGCUUUAAGCAUGUCACUUUUCUAAUCACUAAUAGAGCAGCCGAAAUCUCAAACAUUAAGGAAAUGUUUGCUCCUGCUUUCUUUUUUCUAACUCUUAUUCCCAAAAAGAAAAAAAUACAGGCAAAUAUUGCAUUUAUGAUGCAAU
rnacentral:misc_RNA from 1 species